rnacentral:tRNA from 1 species
UUUAAGAUGGCAGAAAGAUGUAUAGGAUUUAAGCUCCUAAUAGGAAAUUUUUAUUUCUCUUAAAA